rnacentral:rRNA from 1 species
CCCUUAGAUGUUCUGGGCCGCACGCGCGCUACACUGAUGCAUUCAACGAGUAGUUCACCUUGGCCGAGAGGCCUGGGCAAUCUUUUGAAUGUGCAUCGUGAUAGGGAUAGAUUAUUGCAAUUAUUAAUCUUGAACGAGGAAUUCCUAGUAAACGCAGAUCAUCAAUCUGCAUUGAUUACGUCCCUGCCCUUUGUACACACCGCCCGUCGCACCUACCGAUUGAAUGGUCCGGUGAAGCCUCGGGAUUGUGGCCGGUGCCUUUAUUGGUGCCGUUUGCGAGAACUUGUCUAAACCUUAUCAUUUAGAGGAAGGUGAAGUCGUANCA